rnacentral:lncRNA from 1 species
UGCUUCUAGCAGUUUUGGUUGGUGUAAUGGGAUAUCAAAGUUGUUGUAGCUUUACUAAACAACAACAGUCGGAAAAAAUUGUGGGUAUGGCGAUGGAGGCGGACUAAAACAGUGGUCCUAACUCGUACAGACUGUUUAUGUGGUUGUGAUUUGUGGGUUUGGGAAAACUAUGGAACAGUGGCUGGAGAAGAGCAGAGACCGAGCGUGAAUCUAGAAUUGGGCGAUGAAGCGACGGUGGUUACGAAAUGGGUUGAGUAUUGUUGUUGGCCGGUGUGUUGUGGGUGACCGGCGUGCGACGAGUAGUUGUUUAAUGUGUAUGUUUAGGUGGUUGUCUUGCACUUAUUUUGGUUGUAGUAGGUGGCGGGGGUGAUCGACGACGGAUGAGUUGGUUUGAGUGGUGUGUGGAGUUUGAGGCGACUGGUGGCGGUGGUUUUGAGUAAGGGGUUGCAUGG